UCCCAUACCGAACACGGAAGUUAAGCUCUCUAGCGCCGAUGGUAGUUGGGACCUUGUCCCUGUGAGAGUAGGACGUUGCCAGGCA
rnacentral:rRNA from 1 species